rnacentral:rRNA from 1 species
AACGAACGCUGGCGGCAUGCCUAACACAUGCAAGUCGAACGAAGCCUUCGGGCUUAGUGGCGCACGGGUGCGUAACACGUGGGAAUCUGCCCUUCGGUUCGGAAUAACAGUUAGAAAUGACUGCUAAUACCGGAUGAUGACGUAAGUCCAAAGAUUUAUCGCCGUAGGAUGAGCCCGCGUAGGAUUAGGUAGUUGGUAGGGUAAUGGCCUACCAAGCCGACGAUCCUUAGCUGGUCUGAGAGGAUGAUCAGCCACACUGGGACUGAGACACGGCCCAGACUCCUACGGGAGGCAGCAGUGGGAAUAUUGGACAAUGGGCGAAAGCCUGAUCCAGCAAUGCCGCGUGAGUGAUGAAGGCCUUAGGGUUGUAAAGCUCUUUUACCAGGGAUGAUAAUGACAGUACCUGGAGAAUAAGCUCCGGCUAACUCCGUGCCAGCAGCCGCGGUAAU